rnacentral:lncRNA from 1 species
GUUGUAUAUUGCAUUAUUUUUCUGUAUUCACCCCUUGAUACCCUCGGCAGGUGGUAGUGAAUGAGUAUGUGUAAGGGAGCUACCAUUUGAUUUUUAUGGGGGGGGGGGGGGGAUGAAAAAUUUUGUCCUGCAUUUUUUUUUUUAGCUGUAAUCUCUAUCCUGCCUUUUUAUUUUUCACUCUGUUCGGUCUUGCCUUUUUUUUUAAGUUUAUCCUGACUUUUUUUUACCUAAAUUGUCGUCCUGACUUUUUUUUUUUGCAAGUGUCUCAUCCUGCCUUUUUUUUUUACUCAAAACUCCUGUCCUGCCUAUUUUUUUUUCAAAUUUCAUCCUAGCCCCCCCAUAUAAAUCAAAUGGUAGCUCCCUAAUCCUGACUAUUAAUAAUAAUAAAAAAAAAUGAGAUGAGAUUAGAUUUCAAUAAUUGCCUACGCAGGUUUACUUGUGUUUGAUUUAGUUAUCGAUUGUUUUAUCCCAGA